rnacentral:rRNA from 1 species
AUUGAAAGCUAGCGGGAUGCUUUACACAUGCAAGUAGAACGGAGUGGCGGAAGGGUGAGUAAUAUAUCGGAAAGUGCACAGUAGCGGGGGAUAACUACUCGAAAGGGUGGCUAAUACCGCAUAGGAGUGGAACGGCCGAUAUCGGGUUAGCUAGUUGGUGGGGUAAAGGGUCACCAAGGCAACGAUCCGGAGCUGGUUUGAGAGGACGACCAGCCACACUGGGACUGAGACACGGCCCAGACUCCUACGGGAGGCAGCAGUGGGGAAUUUUGGACAAUGGGGGAAACCCUGAUCCAGCCAUCCCGCGUGUAUGAUGAAGGCCUUCGGGUUGUAAAGUACUUUUGGCAGAGAAGCGGUAUCUGCAGAAUAAGCACCGGCUAACUACGUGCCAGCCGCCGCGGUAAUUC